GACAGAGGGUGCAAGCGUUGCUCGGAAUCACUGGGCGUAAAGGGCGUGUAGGCGGGAAGGAAAGUCGGGCGUGAAAUCCCUGGGCUCAACCCAGGAACUGCACUCGAAACUUCUUUUCUUGAGUGCCGGAGAGGAAAGCGGAAUUCCUGGUGUAGAGGUGAAAUUCGUAGAUAUCAGGAGGAACACCAGUGGCGAAGGCGGCUUUCUGGACGGUAACUGACGCUGAGACGCGAAAGCGUGGGGAGCAAACAGG
rnacentral:rRNA from 1 species